ensembl:lncRNA
AGUCAUUUCAGUCGUGUCUGACUCUGUGCGACCCUAUAGAUGGCAGCCCACCAGGCUCCCCCGUCCCUGGGAUUCUCUAGGUCUCCAGAAUGACUAGAACCAUCUUGGCGGAGUGACACCUAAAGAUACAAACUGCAGGCAUCCGGACCUGAUAUAUAAAAUCCUCUAUGUUGAGCCUGAGUCUGAUGUUGGAAUGGAAUCACAUGGUGAAGGCAAUGUUUGGUUACAUGCAGGAUUGUAUUAUGGGUUGUACUGUGUCCUCCUAAAGUUAUGCUGGUAUCUUAACUACCAGUACCUCAGAAAUAUGAUCUUUUUGGAAAUAAUGUUGUAAAUGGAAUUAAUUAAGAUGGGGUCACAGUGGGGUAGGGUGCAUGGCCCCAUAAUCCAUUGUAACUGGUAUGAAGAGACACAAGAGGGAGAACACGGCCAUGUGAGAAUGGAGACAGAGAUUAUAGGGAAGCAUCUGCAAGUCAAAGAACACCCAGGAUUUCAACUUCAAGAACCAGAAGAGGCAAUGCAGGAUACUUCUGCUUAGGUUUCAGAAGCACCAUGGUCCUGCUCAAAACUUGAAUUUUUCUUCUGGCCUCCAGAACUACUGUGAGACAACAAAUUCCUACUGAUUUAAGUCACCCAGUUAGUGGUAUUUCUUAUGGCAGCCCUAGGAAACUGAUAUGGCAGUGUGUAUAUUUUUGUCUGUGGGAAAGAUAUAAAUAAUCUGUAGCCAGAGGGAGAACUAUGGUAGAUUAAAAGUGACUAUAAAUUUUUUGCCACACCUCUCAGUAGGAGGGAUGGUUUAUUUUUUCCUCCUCUUGAAUCUGGCUGACCUUAUGAUUUUAUUUGACCAAUAAAAUGUGAAGGGGAUGAUUUUGUUUAACUUCAGUGACUUGGCCUUAGAGAUCCUCAGUUUCUGCUUUUGUACAAUGGGAAUAUUUUCUCUUUCACCAUAUAGAGAGAAGCCCAGAUGACAGAGAGAGAUCACAUGGAGGGGAGCUGAGAUGAUCUGGUUGAUGGCCCCAGAAAAGCUUCAUGCUAACACACUAGCAUUACCUGUCAGUCAUUAGCUUAGCAAGCAAUUUUAGACUUUCCAACCAAUCACAGCUUGAGGAGACUGAAUAGAAGCAUCCAGGUAAUCACAGUCAAUUUACAGACACCUGAGGAAUAAUAAGUGAAUUUUAUUGCUGUAAGUUAAUGGAUUUGGGCAUUUUGUUAUGUAUAGCAAACCAAAAUAUCUUCAUGAACUGAGUGAUCAUUAGGUAUCUGAUAUUGUGCUGAAAACUUUGUAUUCGUUAUCUCAUUAAAUCAUCACCAAAAUUUAUAUAUUAGGUAUCAUUCCCACUUUGGAUAUAAAGAAAGUGAGAUUUGAUGAGGUUAAGUUAGAACAUUUCCUGGCUAUAAAGGGAUUGAGAAAGUAAUCCUACAGAGAUAUGUUAAAAUUCAAUCUGUGGGCUUACCUAUUUUAAUGUAAUUUUAUUAAUCAAUUAUAUGAACUUGGUGAGUCAUUGAC